rnacentral:rRNA from 1 species
UGGGGGAUAAUGCACAAUGGGCGAAAGCCUGAUGCAGCGACGCCGCGUGGGGGAUGAAGGCUUUCGGGUUGUAAACCUCUUUCGCUAUCGAACAAGGCCCGCUUAGGGUGGGUUGAGGGUAGGUGGAGAAGAAGCGCCGGCUAACUACGUGCGAGCAGCCGCGGUAAUACGUAGGGCGCGAGCGUUGUCCGGAAUUAUUGGGCGUAAAGGGCUUGUAGGCGGCUUGUUGCGCCUGCUGUGAAAACGCGGGGCUUAACUUCGCGCGUGCAGUGGGUACGGGCAGGCUUGAGUGUGGUAGGGGUGACUGGAAUUCCAGGUGUAGCGGUGGAAUGCGCAGAUAUCUGGAGGAACACCGAUGGCGAAGGCAGGUCACUGGGCCAUUACUGACGCUGAGGAGCGAAAGCAUGGGUAGCGAACAGG